AACCAAGAAAUUUAGUCAUUCUUUUACGGUAAAAAGACAGUUAAACCAUUGGACCUUUAGUGUAGGAGUAAAAUCCGAAUACUAAAAGUUACACCCGAUAUGGUCGUUGAAUCUGUGAUAGCUUUAAGGGAAACUGGGAUUGGAUACCCCAUUAUUUUUAGCUGUAAAUUUAGUAAGUUUACCCGAGUACUACGAAUAAAAAGUUUAAAACUCAAAGGACUUGGCGGUGUUUUAGACCUCUUAGGGGAACCUGUCUCGUAAUCGACAAUCCACGUUAAACCUGACCUUUUUUAGUAAACAGCCUGUAUACCGUCGUCGUCAGGUAACUUCUUAAAAUAUAAUGGUUAGCUUGAGAAUUAGAUGAAUUAAAACGUCAGAUCAAGGUGCAGCUGAUAAAAAGGUGAGGAUGGGUUACAAUUAUAUACUUGUAAUUACGGAAUAAUGCUUGAAAUAAAGUAUAUUGAAGGAGGACUUAAAAGUAAUUCUAAUUAUAUAAAUAGAGUGAAUAAGGCUCUGAAACGUG
rnacentral:rRNA from 1 species